GACGAACGCUGGCGGCGUGCUUAACACAUGCAAGUCGAACGGUAAGGCCCUUUUGGGGGUACACGAGCGGCGAACGGGUGAGUAACACGUGGGUGACCUGCCCUCAGCUCUGGGAUAAGCCUGGGAAACUGGGUCUAAUACUGGAUAUGACCUUUCCUCGCAUGGGGUUGGGUGGAAAGUUUUUCGGCUGGGGAUGGGCCCGCGGCCUAUCAGCUUGUUGGUGGGGUGAUGGCCUACCAAGGCGACGACGGGUAGCCGGCCUGAGAGGGCGACCGGCCACACUGGGACUGAGACACGGCCCAGACUCCUACGGGAGGCAGCAGUGGGGAAGUAUUGCGCAAUGGGCGGAAGCCUGACGCAGCGACGCCGCGUGGGGGAUGACGGCCUCGGUU
rnacentral:rRNA from 1 species